rnacentral:rRNA from 1 species
UCAUCGAGUCUUUGAACGCACAUUGCGCCUUUUGGUAUUCCGAGAGGCACGCCUGUCUGAGCGUCAGCAAAACCCUUCGGCUUGCGAAUUUAUUUUUGCGGCCGGCGUUGGCGGCGGGCGAGGAUCCUCUUGCGAGGAUCCCCCCACGCUUAAACCCAAAGGCGGGGCGAACGGAUUGGCCGCUGCGAUAGUAGAAAUAUCUUCGCAUGACCACCCUGCCGCCACCGGCCCUAUAAAAUCACCAAAUUUUUGACCUCAGAUCAGACGAGGAUACCCGCUGAACUUAAGCAUAUCAAUAAGCGGAGGAAAAGAAACCAACAGGGAUUGCCUCAGUAGCGGCGAGUGAAGCGGCAAAAGCUCAGAUUUUAAAUCAGGUGCGAUCCCCGCGCCCGAGUUGUAAUCUGGAGAGGAUGCUCCGGCGAAGUCGGCCGCCCAAGUUCCUUGGAACAGGACGUCUCAGAGGGUGAGAACCCCGUACCCGGCGGCCCGGCCCAGCCAUGUGGAGCUCCCUCGACGAGUCGAGUUGUUUGGGAAUGCAGCUCAAACUGGGUGGUAAAUUCCAUCUAAAGCUAAAUAUUGGCGGGAAACCGAUAGCGCACAAGUAGAGUGAUCGAAAGAUGAAAAGCACUUUGAAAAGAGAGUUAAAAAGUACGUGAAAUUGUUGAAAGGGAAGCGCUUGCCAUCAGAACCGGCGCCGGUCGAUCAACGUUCCUUCUGGUUCGUGCACUCGGCCGGCCGCCGUGCCAGCAUCGGUCGCCGCGGCGGGAGAAAGGCGGCGGGAAAGUGGCU